rnacentral:rRNA from 1 species
GACGAACGCUGGCGGCGUGCUUAACACAUGCAAGUCGAACGGAAAGGCCCUGCUUUUGUGGGGUGCUCGAGUGGCGAACGGGUGAGUAACACGUGAGUAACCUGCCCUUGACUUUGGGAUAACUUCAGGAAACUGGGGCUAAUACCGGAUAGGAGCUCCUGCUGCAUGGUGGGGGUUGAAAAGUUUCGGCGGUUGGGGAUGGACUCGCGGCUUAUCAGCUUGUUGGUGGGGUAGUGGCUUACCAAGGCUUUGACGGGUAGCCGGCCUGAGAGGGUGACCGGCCACAUUGGGACUGAGAUACGGCCCAGACGCCUACGGGAGGCAGCAGUGGGGAAUAUUGCACAAUGGGCGGAAGCCUGAUGCAGCAACGCCGCGUGCGGGAUGACGGCCUUCGGGUUGUAAACCGCUUUCGCCUGUGACGAAGCGUGAGUGACGGUAAUGGGUAAAGAAGCACCGGCUAACUACGU